UAAGGCUUGCGGGAAACUAACCCGCAUCUCCUGAAUGCAACCCAAGCACUUUCAUUAAGCUAAAACCUUU
rnacentral:tRNA from 1 species